CACUAUUCCCAACUGUCCCACUACCGCCCUCCACCCUCUUCACCUCUAUUACUCCGCUCCUUUGUUCGGUUGUUGUCGCGAUCGCCAUCGCCCACGCCCACGCUCGCGCCCACGCCUUCCAAAUGCGGCCGCGAUCAAACCGAGGCUCUCUUCCUCCUCCUCCAUAGCCUCUUCUUCUUCUUCUUCUUCUUCAUCACCUAAUCGAAUCCCUUCCCUCCUCUUGUUCGAUCGAUGGCUCCGAUCGCGUUGAAGAAAUCUGCCAGCUCCGCCCUGGGCCUGACCCGUGGGAGCGCCCCGGAUGCCCGUGGCCUCGUCCGGGACGCCGUUCGGGCCACUCUCGCCUCGCCCCCGCUCGGAUCCCACCCCCCUCUGCCGCAGCGGCAGGCGGAUUGGGUUCAGGCGGAGAUCAGGUUCGGACCGCCUGUGGGCGGGCUCGCCCUCGAUGCGGCGCCCGCGCCCAGGGUCCUCUGCUGCGAGGAGAUCGACGGGCGGAGGUGGAGCUACGUGGUGGACGAUGGUGGUCACCCGCGCAGGGGCUCGGCCGUCCGGGCCGUGCCGAUGCAGAGCCCGAUGGCUCCCUUGGAGGAAUUGAUGUCAUUUGUAAGAUCUUAUGUAGUGCCUGAAGGCUUUCCCGAUAGUGUUACCCCUUCAUAUGUUCCAUACAUGACUUGGAGAGCUCUGAAGUAUUUCUUUGGUGGAGCCAUGGGUGUUUUCACGACACGGACACUAUUGAGCUCCGUUGGAGUAUCCAAAAAUAGAGCAAUAUCAGGUGCCGUUGCCAUUAAUUGGAUACUCAAGGAUGGUGCUGGACGCAUUGGCAAAAUGCUCUUUGCAUGACAAGGAAAGAAGUUUGACUAUGAUCUAAAGCAGCUUCGCUUUGCGGGUGAUCUUUUAAUGGAGUUAGGUGCUGGGGUAGAAUUAGCAACUGCUGCUGUUCCACACCUUUUCUUGCCAUUGGCUUGUGCAGCUAACGUGGUGAAGAAUGUUGCUGCUGUGACAUCAACAUCGACACGCACUCCAAUCUACAAGGCCUAUGCCAAAGGUGAAAAUAUUGGAGAUGUAACUGCUAAAGGAGAAUCUGUUGGUAAUAUGGCUGAUCUGUUGGGAACUGGACUCUGCAUCUUGAUUUCAAAAAGGAACCCAUCUUUGGUGGCCUCAUUUGCAUUCUUGUCAUGUGGAUAUGUUUUUAGUGCAUAUCAAGAGGUGAAAUCCAUUGUAUUAAAUACAUUAAACAGAGCAAGAUUCACUGUUGCAGUGGAUUCCUUCAUCAAGACUGGGCAUGUUCCAUCACUUAAGGAAGGAAAUUCUAAGGAAAAUAUUUUUCGUCCUCCAUGGUCGAAACAUACAUCAGUUGUUCUAGGCCCAAGAUUUUGUGAUGCAUUCCAGGAGCCAACUUCAUUUAUUGCCAUAGAGCACUUGUUUGAGAAGGAAAGAUACAUGGUGUCCUACAACCCUUCAAAGGACAAAAUAUAUGCAUUACUGAAGGAUCAAGCAAAAUCAGAUGAUAUAUUGAAAGCAGCUUUUCAUGCUCAUGUUCUUCUUUAUUUCAUCCAAUUGUCAAACACAAAUCAAGCUUUGAAAAAGCUGAGGAAUUCUAACCAAUCAAAAUAUGAAGAGGCCAUACUUCCUACAAAUGCCAACUUCCUUGCUCAUAUGGUGGAGUCUUGCAAGAUUGUUUCAUCAUCAUAUGCGAUAUUCAAGAGGAAAGCAGCGGAACAGGGAUGGAUAAUGUCGGAGUCAUUGCUGAACCCUGGCAGAGCUAGGCUAUUUAGUGCUGUUCAUAGUUAAGAUUGCAUUGAUCUCAGAACUUCGGCAGACGCGUCACUUCACGGACUGUUCAUAGUUAAGAUUGUGCACUGAGAACUUGAUGGUCGAAUUAUUGCUUCAUAUCACAUCAUGAGAAGACGGUGGAUUGCCACGUUCAAGCAGUUAACACUUCAUGCAAUUGCAGGUUAUAAAGCCCGACUAUAUCUGAAGCAAUUUUGAUCUUCUGAAGUCGCAAGCUUCUCAUUCUUCUAUGCGAUAUAGAUGGGUAGUCUUUUCUUUGCAGAUUUGUGGGCCUUUUUCUUUGCCGGUUGAUUAGGUUUGAGGUUCAAGAUGAUGGAAAAACGGUUCCGAGGCUAAGCGAUGGGUUCAAUUGAAGGUUUUACAACAACAUAAAAUGUUUUUUGUAGGAAGAUAAUUUUGUAGAUCCGUUUGUAUUAUAUUUGGUCGAAAUAUGGUUGGUCAUUUUUAGCUGCAUGAA